rnacentral:rRNA from 1 species
GACGGGGGGGGCAAGUGUUCUUCGGAAUCACUGGGCGUAAAGCGCACGUAGGCGGAUUGCUAAGUCAGGGGUGAAAUCCUGGAGCUCAACUCCAGAACUGCCUUUGAUACUGGUGAUCUUGAGUCCGGGAGAGGUGAGUGGAACUGCGAGUGUAGAGGUGAAAUUCGUAGAUAUUCGCAAGAACACCAGUGGCGAAGGCGGCUCACUGGCCCGGUACUGACGCUGAGGUGCGAAAGCGUGGGGAGCAACAGGG